CAUGUACUCCCUCCGUCCUAAAAUUCUUGUCUUAGAUUUGUCUAAAUACGGAUGUAUCAAGUCAUGUUUUAGUAUUAGGUACAUCCGUAUCUAGACAAAUGUAAGACAAGAAUUUUGGGACGGAGGGAGUACAUC
rnacentral:pre_miRNA from 1 species